AGACCACCACAGGGGAGCGCCUGACACGGCGCUGAGAGUGCGAAGGCAGACCCUUACACCUGAUCCGGAUCAUGCCGGCGGAGGAAGUUGGAGGAGACGAAUG
rnacentral:ncRNA from 2 species